rnacentral:lncRNA from 1 species
UCAAAUAAUUAACAAUAUUAAAUAAUCAUCAUCUCAUCACAAACUCAACAACAACUCUUCAUAGAAAUUAAUACAAACACAACAUACAUUAUUAAUCAUCAAUGAUACUAAAUCAAAUAAAAUUAUCUCAAUACCUAAAUACACAAAUCAUGAACAUAUAUUAGGAACAUGCAACCAAUAUUUCUAAGCACACCUAAGAGAGGUUUUAAGAGGAUUUUGUAUGUUACCUUAAGAAGAAAUUUGAGACCCCAAAGUUUGAUUAUAAUUUCUUCUUCUAUAAGUAAAAUCUUAAUUCCUCUUCAUGUUUCCAUCUUUCUUCUCAACAUGCAAGAAAUCUAAACUUCUUCUUCUAUAUUGAAACUCUAGUUUUCCUUUUCUUUUUUCUCAUGAUUUCUCAUUUCACUCUCCCUUUUAGUCCUCUUCUACUCUAAUAUAGGUGUGGGGGUUGUUUCUAUGAUGAGAUGAUGAAAGGAGGAAGCUUGAGAAUGACAUGCAAUGGAGUUAGUGUGUUCUCUCUGGUUUUUUUUUCUUCCCUCUUCUUCUUUCCUCACUAUUUCUAUUUAUAUUUUCUUUUAAUUUG